rnacentral:lncRNA from 1 species
GCAGGAUCCAAGCAGCGUCUGUGACCUAUACCAUAGCUCAGGGCAACACUUAACCCACUGAGCAAGACCAGGGAUUGAACAGGCAACCUCAUGGUUCCUAGUCAGAUUCGUUUUCCCUGAGCCAAGAUGGGAACUCCCCCUGCUUUUUUACAUUUUUAAAUGUUAUGAAGUACUUUGAUAAAACACACAGAUCCUGGAAAAUAUUAUCAUUAAACUGGACUGGAUUGCCUAAAAUUUUCACUAUCAUGGCUUAAUUUAUGUAAAAUAGUUCCUACACAAACACAGGGGUAAUUUUUCCUUUAUGGCCUAUUUCCUUUUCUUUCUUUUUUUUCCUGAUUCCAACCUUAGAAUAAGAAUUACAUUUUUUCAUUUCUGAAAUAAUCAUUAAUUUCACUCAUCAUCUUAACCAAAUAUGUGCCAUGUUAGUAUUUUUACUUAUUCAUUUCUAUUUAUUUAAUUCAUGAAGUUGGUGGUUGUGGAUGAGAUCUUUUGGAAUAUUUUGAGAAAUAAAUAAAACAACUCUAAAGCCUGAAUUAACUCCCCAAAUUGUCACAUAAUUUUCUCACUUCCUGAAAUACUGCUUUUGAAGAUAAGCACAACCAGGUAUUCAACCCUAGAAAGAUGAAAAGGAUGUGCAGAGCUUGGGAGAUUUAUGCUAAUUCCUGGACCUCAUUAGCAAUAUAGGACUAAAUCAGGCAGCAACUUUACUUACUUUGGUGCAUAUUUUAAUCCCAAAACUGGUUCCUGGUAGUAUGGAAAAUAAUUUUCUAAAUUAUUAUAUCAAUUUGUAAUUAAAACAAGAUAUAGAGGGGGGAAGUGUUUUGAUAAUUUCUCAUUUAUUGGGUAUUUUAGAGCAAUCCAAAAUAUAUCUAAGGAAAUGCAUGCAAACAAAUUCCUAGACAAAAUAGCAGAAGCAAUCAUUUAAAUGAAUUCUAUUUCACAGUUUUAAUUCUUUUCAGUGGCUUAAUAUAGAUUUUUUCCACCUACCAUUUACUCCUUCAAUCAAUUUAUCUGAAACUUCCUCCAUCCUUUAGUAGCUGCUCUUUGAGCAGAUAAAAAUUAAUUAACAUUGCAUGUUUUAGCUGAAUAUGUGUGAACUCUUGCUCACUCCUCACACCAGUUAACACCAGGCUGUUGUUCUGGCAAGUGUUAUAGUGACUAAGCAAUACUAUGGUCAGAAUUUUUAUACACAUUAUAGGGAUGUGUGUGAUGCAUUAUAGCAAAACUCCACCAAUUGAACUAAUCAACAUCAUUGUUCCCUUCCCAACAUAUCCAAGAGAAAUAUUAUCACUUCAUUUUACUUAUUUUCAAUGCAUUUUAUAUUUCCUAAGAUGUUACAUCCUAUAAAAUACCAUUCAGUUCCUUUCAUUUUCUCAUGCUUUUGAAAGGCAGUUUUGUAGUACGCUCAAUAUUGUGCCUCUAGAUAUGGUAACCAGACUAAAUCCUGUGAAAUGUUUCUUUGUUCAUGCCAUAGCUAGGAGUAAGGCUCUAUGCAAGAUACAGGAAUAAAAUAAAAGAAUGUGCAGAGAUUUAAAGUUGGAACUAAAACAAUAGAUCACUAACUAUAUGAAUUUCAAAAUGAUACUUUAUUAUACAUAUCCAUCUAUCUAUCUAUCAUCUAUCACUUUAUUUUUCCACACUGAGAUACAAUUAAUAAAUAAAAUUGUAUAAAUGUGAGGCAUACAGCAUGAGGAUUUGAUAUAUGUUACAAAAUUAUUACUGUGAUAUAUUUUAUACAUCCAUCACCACAGUUAUAUACCUAUAUUACAUAUAAAUGUAUUUUUAUGUGUGAUGAGAAUAUUUAUGAGUUGUCUUACAAGUUUAAAGCAUACAUUUCAGAAUUGUUAACUGUGGUCACCAUGUUGUUCAUUAGCUCCCCAGAAAUUAUUCAUCUUAUAACUGCAAAUUUGUUUCCUUAUUCAUUUAUUUUGCCAUUUUAAUUUUUGAGCUUCUGGCAUCAACUAAGAAUCAGACAUAGUUCCCCUCCCAAGGGAACUCAUAAGCUAGUAAAAGACAUAGCUUUGAGACAAGGAAGCUAAAAUAAUGGCAAAUAUGCAAUGUUACAUGUUGAAAGAGCAGUUCAAACUCAAAGGAGAACAGUAAGUGAAUGAAAAAGGGGAUUAUAUUAUAUAAAUUACAUAAACAUUUUAGUUAUGAAUAAUUUAAUUAUUAUUACAUAACUUUCUUUUAAGUUUCAAAAAGAAACAUGUAUCUUUUAUAGCAAUACUGAUUUUUAAGUGUAGUCUGGGUGCUUAUGUUAACUGCUAAAUUUACAUCUCAUAAAACAGUGUUGAAUGAUUUAUAGACAGUAUGAAAGUCUGAUAUUUUAAACACAUAUUCUUAGUUUUGAUGCUUUUUUCUUAUCUCAAAGAUAAGAAUCUAGAAUUUAUACUGUCAGUUGUCUUGUUACUUUGUGCCUAGCACAACUCAUAAAGUUGAGAUUGGAAAUUAAUGAUGUUCACAACACAGUCUCAGUUUUUUAAUUCUUAAUGUUCAAACUGGCAGAGAUGAAAGUUGAAAAAUGAGAUCUCCUCUGUUAUUUAUUUUAAUUACUCUUUUCAUGGCUUACAUGCACAAACCUGAAUUUCACUCCGUCCAGUUUACUUUAUCUCCUCAGUAAUAUUUUAAUUAAGUAUGUUGAGAUCAACUUUGUAUUUCUCAGACUUCUAUGAUGACUGCCUUUCUUGCUCAUCUUUUAUAUGCUUACCGACUAGACCCACAUAAAGAGGAAAAACUACAUCUGAAUAUCUUCUGCCCAGAAAUGGAGUUUCAUAUGCAGCAGCUGGCUGAAUGCAAGUUUCUGAGCAAAUGAUUUGUGAUUGGAUUUACCUCUCCUUUAUGGACUCUACCAUUGGUUUGAGUACUCUGUUCAAUUUGAGAUUAUAAAAGCCUAAAAGCAAUCAUAAGGUGAAUUUCAAUAAAUGGAAUUUAUUAUGAAUGUGAACGAUAAUUUGAUGGCAGCUUUAAAUUGUAAGCACUCUUUCAAUUGUAAACAUAUCCAAAUUGCUUUGUUUUCCUCAUAAGAGAUUCAGCACCUCGAAACAAAGAUUUGCUAUAAAACAAGUUCUCCAGCAAACAUCUGCUCCCUGUCUCUAAAGCCCUGAGACAGGUGAAAUAGAACUCUGGCUAUAUAAGCUAUGUUUUAAAGCUUUGGCAAUGGAAAAAAUAAUAAUUCUUUACAUUUGUAUUGGUAAAAGGAUUAACAUUUUUCUUUGAAUAGUAAAAACAUCAGACCUAUUUCAAAUACGUUUAUUUAGUCUAAAAUACUUGCUUGGUUCCAAUAAAAAUCUAAAACUAUAUAAAUCUGACUGAAAUAUCUGAUGGUUCUAUUUUUAUUCUGCUGGAAUAUUUGUGUGUUUAAUUUCUGGUGAAAUUCACCAGGUAUUUAUACUAAAAAUAUGUACAGAGAAUCUUUGCUCUGGAGGGUUCUAUGAUGUAUAAAUAUUCACUUGUCAAUAUUUAUAGAAAUCAGGAGUUCCCAUGAUGGCUCAGUGGUUAAGGAAUCUGACUAGAAACCAUGAGGUUGCGGGUUCGAUCCCUGGCCUUACGCAGUGGGUUAAGGAUCCAGUGUUGCUGUGAGCUGUGGUGUAGGCUGCAGAGGUGGCUCGGAUCCCACAUUGCUGUGGCUGUGGUGUAGGCCGGAGGCUGCAGCUCCGAUGAGACCCCUAGCCUGGGAACCUCCAUAUGAUGCACCUGCAGCCCUAGAAAAGACAAAAAGACCAAAAAAGAAAAAAAAAAGUAUAUAUAUAAAUGAAGAUUGUUAAGAUACUAUGCAAAAAUAGUACAUGAACUAACAAGUAUGAAAUGUAUACACAUUACUAGUGACCAGGUAAAUGCAUUGAGCUGUUGUUAUAUAUUCACCAGUUUAACAAAAGGUAAGGUGUGAAGUAUAAACCAGGCAAAAGAAUGUGGAACUAACUGUAACUCUUAGGCACUGCUAAAGAAAGUGUGAAUUCUUACAAGCACUCUUGAAAACCAUUUAAUGUGUUGUAGUAAAUAUGAUGAAGAUACAUAUACACCCAUGACUUGACAAUUCCACCACAAUCUUAUACCUUAGAGCAACUCUGUUGAGUAGGAAUAUAAUGCAAGCCCAUAGGCAAAUUUAAAUUUUCUAGUAACCACAUUAAAAAAAAUAGAUGAUACACAUUUUAAUAAUGCAUUUUAUUUAAAUCAAUAUAUCUAUAAUAUUGUUAUUUUGACAUGUAACCAAUUUAAAAGUAUAAGAUAUUCUAUAUUUUUUGUAUUGUCUUCAAAAUCAGGUAUCUAUUUUAUACUCAGAGCAUACCUAAAUUGAAACAAAUCCCACAUUUCAAGUACUUAAAAGCCACUGUGACCAGUGUUCACUGUAAUGAACAUGCAAACCUGGAAAAUACCUCACAUGUGCAUUAGGAAGUGUGCAUGACAAUAUUCAUAUUGACUCUGUCGAUAGUCUAUAUUCGUCUGGACUGAGUCAGCACCAAAGAGAGCCUAUGGCAGUGACCCCAUGGAGGGAUUUUAAAAUGGAAAGCUAUUUAUGUUGGUGUGGGAAGUGCUGAAAAAGUCCCAAAUCAAUCAAACAAACAAAUAGUGAGCCAAUCCAGAGAUGAAAAACAGCAGUAAGCUGCUACAUCUCUCAGGCUGAUAUGAUGAAAGGAGAAUGUGGUAUCUUUUAUGAAGCCCAAACUCCUUAGAUUUGCUUACAGAACUUUUAAUGAUCUUCCCCUUUAUGUUUCUCCAUUUUCAAUCCCCUCCCCCAAUUCCUUACUCUCUCCAUAUCAAUCUACAGGCAGUUCCCAGAAUAUGCUCUUUGCUCUUUUAUUUCAUACUUGUGUGCCACUGUAUAUAUACUGCAAGUUGCCUGAAAUACUCUUAACAACAUUCAUCUUGAUCCUCCUCAUCGAUUACCAUCUGCUUUCUCUAACUUCAGGCAGAUGUAAACUUGCUCAAUAGGAAGAGUGUGCCUAUAUUCUACUUACCCCUCAGUUACCAUGCUGGGUUACCCACACUUCUGCACAACCAUAGCACCCCUAGGCAUACUCUGAUUUAAACUUCUCAUGUCUUUUUAUAACAUUAGUCUUACUUCCUCUACUGUGUCAUAAAAUAUUUGAGAGUAUUUCAGUAAUAUCUACUUGCAUGUUUACCCUACUUGCAUGUUUAGGUAUGAAAACAAUAUUUAGGAGUGACUUGAACAAUUGAGAUGUUUAAAAAGAAAAAAAAAGUAACACAAACAUGAUUUUGCAGUGGAAAUCUUUCCAAAAUUAUAUUAGUUGCAACAAUUUGACCUAUCUCUAAUGCUAGCCAGAUCAUGAUUAGCUGAGACAAAGUGUAAUGAAAACUACAGAUAAUCAAUGUAAUUUGCACACUGUAAUUUAAUUUAGUAACUAUUAAUUCUUCAUUUUUUAUAUCUAUAAAUGCAUAAUUCAUCAUAGUUCAUGUAUUAAAAAUAACAUAAACUGGGAAAUUAUUUUUAUGGCAGUAGAGAAAUAAUGAAUAUUCAACUUUCCUCGCAGCUGUGACAGCAAUCCAAAAAAAAAAAAAAA